GCCAGACUCCUACGGGAGGCAGCAGUGGGGAAUAUUGCACAAUGGGGGAAACCCUGAUGCAGCGACGCCGCGUGAGCGAGGAAGUAUUUCGGUAUGUAGAGCUCUGUCAGCAGGGAAGAAGAAUGACGGUACCUGAAGAAGAAGCACCGGCUAAAUACGUGCCAGCAGCCGCGGUAAUACGUAUGGUGCAAGCGUUAUCCGGAUUUACUGGGUGUAAAGGGAGCGCAGGCGGUUCUGCAAGUCUGAUGUGAAAGCCCGGGGCUCAACCGCGGGACUGCAUUGGAAACUGCGGGACUGGAGUGUCGGAGGGGUAAGCGGAAUUCCUGGUGUAGCGGUGAAAUGCGUAGAUAUCAGGAGGAACACCGGUGGCGAAGGCGGCUUACUGGACUGUAACUGACGUUGAGGCUCGAAAGCGUGGGGAGCAAACAGGAUUAGAUACCCGGGUA
rnacentral:rRNA from 1 species